rnacentral:rRNA from 1 species
UGGGCAACCUGCCCCUCUCUCUGGGAUAACCCCGGGAAACCGGAGCUAAUACCGGAUACUCCGGCUGGAUCGCAUGGUCCGGCCGGGAAAGGUCCGCCGGAGAGGGAUGGGCCCGCGGCCUAUCAGCUUGUUGGUGAGGUAACGGCUCACCAAGGUGACGACGGGUAGCUGGUCUGAGAGGGCGAUCGGCCACACUGGGACUGAGACACGGCCCAGACUCCUACGGGAGGCA